ensembl:snoRNA
GAGCAAUGAUGAAAAGGUUUUACUAUAGACCUUUAUAACUAUGAAAAUUUCUACACUUGAUCUGAGCUCA